rnacentral:lncRNA from 1 species
GUAUUCAGCAUCCUUACUUCGUCUGAGCCAGCCUGCUGCAGGUGGGGUACUUACCUGUGAGGCAGAGUUGGGCGUUGAGGCUUGCAGACUCACAGACACUGACGCUGCCAUUGCAGAAGAUCCACCAGAUGCUAUUGCUGGGCUCCAAGCAGAAUGGAUGCAGAUGAGUUCACUUGGGACUGUUGAUGCUCCAAACUUCAUUGUUGGGAACCCAUGGGAUGAUAAGCUGAUUUUCAAACUUUUAUCUGGGCUUUCUAAACCAGUGAGUUCCUAUCCAAAUACUUUUGAAUGGCAAUGUAAACUUCCAGCCAUCAAGCCCAAGACUGAAUUUCAAUUGGGUAAGAAUUAUUUGGAUAAUAUAACUUUAAAUUCUUGUUUCUCUAUGAGAAGUUGAUGGUAACGUGUGUGUGUGUGUGUGUGUGUGAUUCUCCUAUUUGCCCCCCAACCUCCAAUAGGGAGUUGUAUCUGUAAUACUAAACUGAUCAUUUUGUUAAGCCAUGAUUGUAGGAUUGUGCUUGCUGUUGGGACUAUAACUCCUAUAACUCAUAGAGGGCAAUUUGCCAAUAUCUAUUAAAAUUAAAAAUGCAUUUACUUUUAAAGCCAGCUAUCCACUUUUAAGGAUUUCCUAUAGAUAUUAUUAUAUACUUCUAUAGUAAAAUACUAUAGUAACAUUGGCAACAGAACAAGAAAGCUCACUCUGUACUGAUAGGGAAUGAGCUCCAAAACAUACCAUACUGUUAAAAGGGCAGAGCCGU